rnacentral:rRNA from 3 species
AGAGUUUGAUCCUGGCUCAGGACGAACGCUGGCGGCGUGCCUAAUACAUGCAAGUCGAACGAACUCUGGUAUUGAUUGGUGCUUGCAUCAUGAUUUACAUUUGAGUGAGUGGCGAACUGGUGAGUAACACGUGGGAAACCUGCCCAGAAGCGGGGGAUAACACCUGGAAACAGAUGCUAAUACCGCAUAACAACUUGGACCGCAUGGUCCGAGUUUGAAAGAUGGCUUCGGCUAUCACUUUUGGAUGGUCCCGCGGCGUAUUAGCUAGAUGGUGGGGUAACGGCUCACCAUGGCAAUGAUACGUAGCCGACCUGAGAGGGUAAUCGGCCACAUUGGGACUGAGACACGGCCCAAACUCCUACGGGAGGCAGCAGUAGGGAAUCUUCCACAAUGGACGAAAGUCUGAUGGAGCAACGCCGCGUGAGUGAAGAAGGGUUUCGGCUCGUAAAACUCUGUUGUUAAAGAAGAACAUAUCUGAGAGUAACUGUUCAGGUAUUGACGGUAUUUAACCAGAAAGCCACGGCUAACUACGUGCCAGCAGCCGCGGUAAUACGUAGGUGGCAAGCGUUGUCCGGAUUUAUUGGGCGUAAAGCGAGCGCAGGCGGUUUUUUAAGUCUGAUGUGAAAGCCUUCGGCUCAACCGAAGAAGUGCAUCGGAAACUGGGAAACUUGAGUGCAGAAGAGGACAGUGGAACUCCAUGUGUAGCGGUGAAAUGCGUAGAUAUAUGGAAGAACACCAGUGGCGAAGGCGGCUGUCUGGUCUGUAACUGACGCUGAGGCUCGAAAGUAUGGGUAGCAAACAGGAUUAGAUACCCUGGUAGUCCAUACCGUAAACGAUGAAUGCUAAGUGUUGGAGGGUUUCCGCCCUUCAGUGCUGCAGCUAACGCAUUAAGCAUUCCGCCUGGGGAGUACGGCCGCAAGGCUGAAACUCAAAGGAAUUGACGGGGGCCCGCACAAGCGGUGGAGCAUGUGGUUUAAUUCGAAGCUACGCGAAGAACCUUACCAGGUCUUGACAUACUAUGCAAAUCUAAGAGAUUAGACGUUCCCUUCGGGGACAUGGAUACAGGUGGUGCAUGGUUGUCGUCAGCUCGUGUCGUGAGAUGUUGGGUUAAGUCCCGCAACGAGCGCAACCCUUAUUAUCAGUUGCCAGCAUUAAGUUGGGCACUCUGGUGAGACUGCCGGUGACAAACCGGAGGAAGGUGGGGAUGACGUCAAAUCAUCAUGCCCCUUAUGACCUGGGCUACACACGUGCUACAAUGGAUGGUACAACGAGUUGCGAACUCGCGAGAGUAAGCUAAUCUCUUAAAGCCAUUCUCAGUUCGGAUUGUAGGCUGCAACUCGCCUACAUGAAGUCGGAAUCGCUAGUAAUCGCGGAUCAGCAUGCCGCGGUGAAUACGUUCCCGGGCCUUGUACACACCGCCCGUCACACCAUGAGAGUUUGUAACACCCAAAGUCGGUGGGGUAACCUUUUAGGAACCAGCCGCCUAAGGUGGGACAGAUGAUUAGGGUGAA